UAAAUUAUUUUUUAUUUCUAGCUUAGCUGGGUAUGUUGCAGUUAUGACAGUUAUAAAUUGUAUCUGAGUAAUAUCUCUGUGAUAUUAAGAUUGGAUUUGCUUAUUAUUUCUUUCGAAAUAAGUACGUACGCAAAAAUUGUGGCAAUCAUUUGCCAAUAAGGUUGGGGACUUAAAGAUGAGUUCUUCGAUAUUGGACUCAGUUUUGAUUAAUGUUCAUCACCACAUUACUCUUCCUUUAAUGAGUCGGAGAUGGUUUCCUGGUCUUCGUUUUUUUUCUUGGUGGAGAUUUGGAUAUCCGUUUCUUAGUUGUGAGUGGUCGCUUUGGACUUCUGAUGAGUUUCUGUUUCUUAGAUUGUGGUAUGAAAAGUUAUGAAAGGGAAUUAGUUGAAAUGCAAAGAAGGAAUAAAUUUAUCUUAAGUCAUAAAUAAUCAGGUACAUGGUAUUUGAAAAUGUAAAGUUUAUUUUAGGCAUAUAAAGAAAAGUUGUUAUUACAUUUGAAUUUUAACUAUAUUUAAAAUCUCUGCUACAUACUAAUGUCAAUGCAGAAUGAAAUCUGCUUUCUCUCUGAUGAACUUAAUAAUUAAUCUGUAUUUUGAAAAACUGAG